AGAGAACAAGUCCCACAUGCAUCCAGUGCUGUAAUAAACAUACCGGCUUUACAACUUUCACAAAAGUUGAGUUUGUUUCUGCAAAUCAUUUUGGCAAGCCAGCCAGGAGACCAUCUCUGUCCUCGCAAGGGCAGAGGGGAAGACGGACCUCCUGAGGCGCACCUUGGGAUUUUCCCGGAGGAGCUCCCCUUGUCUCAGCUUGCCUCCUGCGGAGACAGACAAGGACCUGCUGGUGUGCGGAAAGAUACGGUACCCUAAAAAUGAGUGAAGGCAGCAAGGAUGCUGCGGAGGUCCGAACCUAAUUCAGACGUCUGAUUCGGGCCAGUGCAGUAUGGUGUGUUUCAAGCUACCUGGAAACAAAUGGUUGAAAGAGUAGCAUUGGACAACAUGCAGUUACCUCAGCACGAUCCACGUAAUGCUGUGGGAGUUGAUGCCUUGCUGGGCAAUGGACUGUUCUCUAACCCAGAUUUGCAGGCAAGAUGGGACCCCCUGGUUCUAGCACAGGCCCAGCAGCUGGGUAUGAGUGCCUUACUUAAAACAAUGGAGAUGGCAGCUCCUAAACCAAGGUAUAUUACCAUCCAGCAAGGGGUGAAGGAACCUUUUCUGCAGUUUGUGGAGAGGGUUGCUGCAGCCCUUGAGAAGCAAGUAGAAGAUGGUAAGUUGAGGCAAAUUUUAUGCAGACAAUUAGCACGGGACAAUGCGAAUGAUGAUUGCAGGAGAAUUAUUGAAUCUUUACUGCGAGAUCCCUUGCUGUCUGACCUUGUAGUUGCUUGCUCAAAGGUUGGCUCUGUUGAGCAUAAAAUGGCUGCUUUGGCAACAGUCAUGAAGUCUUCACCCAGAUGUUCUGCUUGUGAAGAAUCAGGGCAUGUGAAGACACAAUGCCCUCAUACUGAUGGACAAUGUGCACACUCCAACGUAAUUUGGACCAGUAAAGUGCCUUGUUAUCGUUGUGACAACUUUGAUCAUAUUGCUAAAUUUUGUAAAGCACUAUCUUUUUCAUGUGGUCAACAAGUGCAAACUGGAAGAGGAACAUGAAGGGGUGCAUGGAGACACAAAUACCCCAACGACAAUCACGAGCCCUGCCAGCACUGCAAAGCUCUCCAUUUGUGACCGAUACACAGGGGCCACAAGAGGCUCGGCAGGGAUUGCUAUACUGGUAGCUGACACAGUGACUAUUUUGACAAGAGGUAUAUGUAAAGUGCUCCUUGAUGCCUAUGGUCCUAUAGGCCAAGGUUUGAGUGCUUUUCUGAUGGGAAGAUCUAGUAGCACUAUUCAAGGUAUUAAUGUCCAUUUAGGUCUUAUUGAUUCUGAUUAUGUGGGACAAAUUCAGGCUAUGGUGUCUGUUAGUGAACCUCCUGUUGUUAUUCAAAAAGGUACUUGUAUUGCGCAACUUGUUCCUUUUAUGAGUUGUGUUCCAACUGUAGUGGACCGGAGUCGUGGCACUGGAGGUUUUGGAUCUACAGGACCACCUCAGGUUCUUUGGACUCAAAAGGUGACAGAUGACCGUCCGGUAACACAAUGUUUGGUCACUGCUAAGGGAUGUCACCCAGAAACUACAACAGUAUCCGGUUUACUUGACACAGGAACAGAUGUAACUAUAAUUUCACAGUUUGUUUGGCCUCCAACAUGGCCCCUCACUCAAUCAACCUUUGGAGUUGUUUGGUUUGGUGGGUCAACUGCUGGUGCUUUAUCUGCUAUUGUGAUUACUGUAACACAUCCAGAAGGCCAACAAGCUAACAUCAGACCUUAUGUUACUAAUGCUCAACCUAACUUAUGGGACCAUGACUGCUUAACCCAAUGGGGUGUUAAAAUUACAAUGGAUUUUUAGUGGGGGCCACUGGGAUGCAGGGCUUUAAACGUCCGGUUGUGUUCUUGAUAUGGCUGACAGAUAAGCCUGUGUGGAUUGAUCAGUGGCCCCUGCCUACUGAAAAGCUUCUUGCCCUGCAAGGCUUAGUGACAGAACAAUUACAAGCUGGACAUAUUGAAAAUUGUGUCACAGUUAUCACUUGGAGGAUUCAGUCAACGGAAAGGGGAACAACAUGAUCACUUUACACCAUUUGUUUGGUUACAUAGAGGUAUUUUAACACUGAGUGUUCAGCUAAGGCCUAUAAUAUAGUAUAUUCACCCCACUACUAUUUCUAUAAACUAUGCAGUACAUACUUACAGAUUUUGUUAUACUGACAAAUGUUAUGAAUAGAAAGUUGUAUUUUUUUUAGUUGCAGAGUUAAAAACAAGUCAGACCAGUCAGACCUCUUUAGUUUCACUAAUAAAGAGGAGCUCUUCAAUUACCUGUUAAUGGCCGGUGAUUAACCAUUGUUCCCCUGAUGCUGGCCGCUUGCCAGGGAGAGACACCAGGACAGACCCUCCAAGUACAAAGAGAAUAGCAUUGACAUCAGAGCCAGUAUGCAGAUGAGAAAUGCAUUGCGCCCUGAAUUUUUACAGUUUUACAGUUUUUACAGGAAAAACCCUUAAAAUUACGAGCCAACAAGUGACCUAAGUGACGUCUAAGGAUGGGAGCGUAGUCCCGUACCUGCUUGGAUCCUUUUUGCUUCUCACCCUAACCUGAAAAGAUGCUGAUUAAAGAGACGCCCCGGGGUGUUAGACAAAAAAGAUAGGAAUCUGCUACUCUCCCGUGAGGACAGAAUCCCCAUCUCUGUCUGCAGACCAGCGGACAAAGCUGCAUCAUCCUCCUUCUCCGUGCCACACCUGGGAGCAGCGGCGGCGUGGGCGUGACCCGUCGAUUUCUCCCCACCUGAGCUGAUUCUUCUUAAUAAAGGCAUUAAAAAGGAGAAAGAUCUCCUGCCCAUUUAUUUCAACAAACAGCUAAAUAAAGGCAUACAUGAUAUUAUAUCUGAAUACUUAUGCUCAAUGCAAAAACUAAUAUAUAAAUGCAAAAGCCAAUAUCAUAUUGCAGCUCUCUUUUUUAACAGUUCCUCCCCUUUUUCCUUCUUACUGCAUUUGGCUUGAGCUACUACUUUUGAACUUCUAUAUUCUUGCCAUAUUGAUACUUUUCAUAGAUUCUACAUGCUUUUCCUAAGCUUCUGCCGUCUUUUGCCCUUCUUAAUACCAUAAUGUUUUGUUUUCCCCCUACGGUUCCCAGUUCUGGAUUGGUGGGGACUGUCAUCACUUGCAUGAUUUGAACCACAUAGAGAAUUAAUCGGAUUAGGCAUGGGAUUAAACAUGGAUGGAAAAUCAGGCUCGUUAUUCCACAUAACACUACAAAUCCCACUUUCUUCCACCAGGUUAUUCCAAAGAAGUUUUCUAACCAUCCUUUAUUCAUUAUAGAUUCCCAUUUCUGGAUGGGUACAUGGGCUAUUUUCCAGAUGUUUUUAGCUAUAUCCAAAACUGCAGCCCCAUUAUCAUCAAUUUGUAAGCAACAAUUGGAUAUGUUAAAUUUAUUCAA